rnacentral:rRNA from 1 species
UGGGGAAUUUUGGACAAUGGGCGAAAGCCUGAUCCAGCAAUGCCGCGUGUGUGAAGAAGGCCUUCGGGUUGUAAAGCACUUUUGUCCGGAAAGAAAUCCUUGGCUCUAAUACAGUCGGGGGAUGACGGUACCGGAAGAAUAAGCACCGGCUAACUACGUGCCAGCAGCCGCGGUAAUACGUAGGGUGCAAGCGUUAAUCGGAAUUACUGGGCGUAAAGCGUGCGCAGGCGGUUUGCUAAGACCGAUGUGAAAUCCCCGGGCUCAACCUGGGAACUGCAUUGGUGACUGGCAGGCUAGAGUAUGGCAGAGGGGGGUAGAAUUCCAUGUGUGAGCAGUGAAAUGCGUAGGAGAUGUGGAGGAAUACCGAUGGCGAAGGCAGCCCCCUGGGCCAAUACUGACGCUCAUGCACGAAAGCGUGGGGAGCAAACAGGAUUAGAUACCCUGGUAGUCCACGCCCUAAACGAUGUCAACUAGUUGUUGGGGAUUCAUUUCCUUAGUAACGUAGCUAACGCGUGAAGUUGACCGCCU